GGAUGUGAGGGUGAUCUGACUGUGACAUCUUUCACCCAUGGAUUUCCAGGGUUGAUUCAGCUUAUCUAGUUGGUGAGGCACGUGUCCCCUUCAUCCCUCACUGCUCCAUGAGUAUUCCUCCAAAGCUGUAUGCUUAGGUGAAGACGAUGACCUUCCCCACAGAGGAGGACCAUUCUUCAGUCAAGGGUAUAUGAAUAGCUGUGCUCCCCUGCUGAAACCUCCAAACAAGCUCUCAAGGAUAGAGAAGAGACGGGGAGGCCCCUUCCAAAAGUUGUUAUAUUAAAAAAAGGUUGUAGCUUCUAUU
rnacentral:snRNA from 1 species